UUCCGGUUGAUCCCGCCGGACCUGACUGCUAUCGGAUUGAUACUAAGCCAUGCGAGUCAUUGCAGCAAUGCAAGGCAGACGGCUCAGUAACGCGUAGUCAACCUAACCUAUGGACGGGAAUAACCUCGGGAAACUGAGAAUAAUGCCCGAUAGAACACUAUACCUGGAAUGGGUUGUGUUCCAAAUGAUUUAUCGCCGUAGGAUGGGACUGCGGCCUAUCAGUUUGUUGGUGAGGUAAUGGCCCACCAAGACUAUUACAGGUACGGGCUCUGAGAGGAGUAGCCCGGAGAUGGGUACUGAGACACGGACCCAGGCCCUAUGGGGCGCAGCAGGCGAGAAAACUUUGCAAUGUGCGAAAGCACGACAAGGUUAAUCCGAGUGGUUUCUGCUAAAGGAACCUUUUGUUAGUCCUAGAAACACUAACGAAUAAGGGGUGGGCAAGUUCUGGUGUCAGCCGCCGCGGUAAAACCAGCACCUCAAGUGGUCAGGAUGAUUAUUGGGCCUAAAGCAUCCGUAGCCGGCUCUGUAAGUUUUCGGUUAAAUCUGUACGCUCAACGUACAGGCUGCCGGGAAUACUGCAGAGCUAGGGAG
rnacentral:rRNA from 1 species